rnacentral:rRNA from 1 species
GAUGAACGCUAGCGGCAGGCCUAAUACAUGCAAGUCGAACGGUAAGGCCCUUUCGGGGGUACACGAGUGGCGGACGGGUGCGUAACGCGUAUGCAACAUGCCUUCCAGCGGGGGAUAUACCAGGGAAACUUGGCGCAAUACCCCAUAGAAUUACGGGACCGCAUGGUCUUGUGAUUAAAACUCCGGUGCUGGGAGAUUGGCAUGCGUGACAUUAGCUAGUUGGCGGGGUAACGGCCCACCAAGGCGACGAUGUCUAGCUGGUCUGAGAGGAUGAUCAGCCACACUGGGACUGAGACACGGCCCAGACUCCUACGGGAGGCAGCAGUAGGGAAUAUUGGACAAUGGGGGGAACCCGUGAUCCAGCCACGUCGCC